rnacentral:rRNA from 1 species
UGAUGCAGCAACCCCGCGUGAGGGACGAAGGCCUUCGGGUUGUAAACCUCUUUUAGUAGGGAAGAAGCGACUGGGUUUUCCUGGGAGUGACGGUACCUGCAGAAAAAGCACCGGCUAACUACGUGCCAGCAGCCGCGGUAAUACGUAGGGUGCAAGCGUCGUCCGGAAUUAUUGGGCGUAAAGAGCUCGUAGGCGGUUUGUCGCGUCUGCUGUGAAAACCCGAGGCUCAACCUCGGGCCUGCAGUGGGUACGGGCAGACUAGAGUGCGGUAGGGGAGAUUGGAAUUCCUGGUGUAGCGGUGGAAUGCGCAGAUAUCAGGAGGAACACCAAUGGCGAAGGCAGAUCUCUGGGCCGUAACUGACGCUGAGGAGCGAAAGCAUGGGGAGCGAACAGGAUUAGAUACCCUGGUAGUCCAUGCCGUAAACGUUGGGAACUAGAUGUGGGGACCAUUCCACGGUCUCCGUGUCGCAGCUAACGCAUUAAGUUCCCCGCCUGGGGAGUACGGCCGCAAGGCUAAAACUCAAAGGAAUUGACGGGGGCCCGCACAAGCGGCGGAGCAUGCGGAUUAAUUCGAUGCAACGCGAAGAACCUUACCAAGGCUUGACAUAUACCGGAAACGGCUGGAAACAGUCGCCCCGCAAGGUCGGUAUACAGGUGGUGCAUGGUUGUCGUCAGCUCGUGUCGUGAGAUGUUGGGUUAAGUCCCGCAACGAGCGCAACCCUCGUCCUAUGUUGCCAGCACGUAAUGGUGGGAACUCAUGGGAUACUGCCGGGGUCAACCCGGAGGAAGGUGGGGAUGACGUCAAAUCAUCAUGCCCCUUAUGUCUUGGGCUUCACGCAUGCUACAAUGGCCGGUACAAAGGGCUGCGAUACCGCAAGGUGGAGCGAAUCCCAAAAAGCCGGUCUUAGUUCGGAUUGAGGUCUGCAACUCGACCUCAUGAAGUCGGAAUCGCUAGUAAUCGCGGAUCAGCAUGCCGCGGUGAAUACGUUCACGGGCCUUGUACACACCGCC